UUUUAAGAUUUUAAAGCUUUUAAAAUGUACGGUAGAAUGCAACAAUGUGCUUGAAUUUGUUUGCUUCUUCGUCAGCUUAUUCGUUUGCAGACUAGAAAAAUGGCGAACAGCCAUCAAAAUACUGAUUCAAAAUACACACAAAUGGGUGCGCGCAGCAAAAUUCAGCCCUAAUGGCGAAUGUAUGCGAACGUUCACCGGGGGAAGAGGUAUGGGACGACAGCUGGCAUGGCAUCCAGACGGCAAUCUGGUGGCUUUAGCAUUAAGUUGUAACCGCGUUAAGAUAUUUGACAAAGCUGAAGGCGAGCUAAUACAGUGCAUUCGUCGCCGGAGAAUGAUGUUGCAUUUCACCCAAGUGGAAAUUUCUUGGUGACUGGCGGCGAUGACGAUACAAUAAGAUUGCUUGAUUUAUUAGAAGUUGCCCGUUUGGAAAUCUAAUUUGCAUACAUUUGAUGGCAAUAGCGCGCAACAAACAAGCCAGUUCUCAAAGAGCCCAAAUUGAUUUUAGUCAUGCAACAGCUCCACAUAACUCCGCCAUAGACACACCAGUUGCUGGAGUACC